CGAAAAUUGCGACGCCCUCAAGUGUCCAUGACGACGGGAAUCAAAUCCGGCUGUUGUUGCCCGAUUCGAUUUUUAAAUGACUGAUUUGAAACUUAUUCACAAGUUUUGAACGAUUUGAAUGGGACAAAAUGGUUAACGGAUAUCUGUUAUUAAUCCAAGCUUUUUGGAGGGAAGGAGAGAAAAUGAAGGCGAGGCAAAAAUUGUGCCAAUGGUGGGUUUCAGGGAGAAGUCCAGAUGGACGAGUGAAGCACUACCUCUUGAAGCUAGAUGACAGAUGACACUCCAUGGCGACAACAUGGCUUGCUUCAUUCUAAGGGUGCCUGCUGCUUCUGGUAACAUGCGAACCUGUGCGAGAGUUGGACUGCAUUCAAACCUUACCGCUUUCCUGCUGUUGAAGUGGCAACUGACACGAAGCCAAGACAGUAUGGCCAAGAUACUAGUUUGAUCCCAAGAGAGGGAUCAUUAUGGAUUCUUUCUUCUUGUCCUCAGAUUGCACAAUUUUGCACACGGUCGCAAAGAUGUUACUGUUGGAGUUGGUGCCUCGAGACAUGGCACUCCUUGUGGCUACUUGCCUCUCCUACCAUCCCAGUAUAGCUUCCCGAGUGAGCUGCUGUAAAGGGAAUUUCUCUAUGAAGUAUCAAGACACUGAGCAUGAGCUGCUUCCUGGUUAACUGCACUGGAAUCUGUAGCAGCCGAGAGGAACUUCCCCUCAAGGAGUGCUGAUCCAGACAUUGAUGUCACAUUCCAUUGAUUUUCCAAGAUUGUAGUACCUGUCCUGUAUAUCUCAAAAGAUGCCUGUCAAGUCUUUUUAAAUUUUAAAAGAUUAUGUCAAGUUAAAAAAUUUGAUCAGUAGUGUCAGCUUCUAUAAGGGGACCCAGAUAUUAAUAAAAAGAGAAAUGCAGCUUUACCUUUGCUGUUUAUGCUAAGAUGUGUGUUAUGCAGCUACCGGUGGUACCAAAGUAACUUUUAUUAUGAUUUGAAAAACAUGAAAGAUUUUUCUUUGGAAGAACUUAGGCGAAAUUUGUUUGUGUAAUGUGGUAAUAGUUCAGUCAUUCAUGGAAGUGAUAAAUAUCUUUAUUGCAUUUGCAUUAUCACUAUUGCAAUUUUUUUCCUUUCAAAUAUAAAAUUUGUAUUUAGGUAGUUUCAAGUUCUGGUAAAGGUGGAAAAUGAUUUCUUAUAUAUUCCAACAAAAAUUUACAUUGAACUAGCAAUACUAAAUUUGAAUAAUAUUUGCUUGUGUGUGUUGUAGAAAAUGUAAUAUCUGGGUAAUGUGCAAAGAAAAUAAAAGGAGUACACCUAUUCCAAACCCUA